UAGGGCGAUUCAAAAUUAACCGAUUAUCAGUCAGGCCACGAAAAAACCAUCACCGGUAUCCUUCCGGCGUUGUCAGGGUGCAACGUUAUCUACGGACUGG
rfam:Desulfobacterium vacuolatum DSM 3385 genome assembly, contig: Ga0002809_118